ACUGUUGACAUUUCGUCUUUUGUCAAAGUUAGUGUAACCUGUCGACGACUGUCACAGAGAUGGAAAGUCGUCCGGAGUUCCAUCGUCUUAUAUACUGCGAAAAGGACUCACAACUUGUCACUCAAGUUCAGAUUUCAGGGUUCCGCCCGAGGAAGCAGCCACACAGACUCCGAAAGCAGAAGAGCAGAGUUUAAACUAACCUUUUGCGCAGGUUUUUGUCAACAGCCAAUCUGACCGCGGUUCAUCAACCGCGAACGGAGCACUUCCAUCUCUGCGGAAUUCAAGUUUAUGAGAGUUUACUGGAAUCCAAACCGAUCGCACAGUUGAAUGGAAAGUGGUAAAUCAUGUCCGCACUCUCACUGGCACUUUCUGCUUUUAUCUGAUUUGUCAGCCAUUUUCACGGAAAAGCGAACGACAUUAACGCAACAUCACUUUGCUAAAAAGUUUGGCGCAUUUCAAACUUACAUCCAUUACCAGUCAAAUGUAAGGGACUCAGCAGCGCAAGGCGUCACCAUUCGAGAUGUUAUCCUGUGACCAUUAAAACCAAUAAAAGCUUAGAGUGCCAGCCAGGUCGAUGAAAAUGAUAAUUUUUUUCUGGAAUAAAGGAAUUUAAGGAGCGGAAGCAAGUUCCUGAAUAAAGACGUCCAGUGGCGGAGUAGUUUUUCCAGCCGAGCAGGGGGCCUUCCGGCACAUCCAGUGGAAGAUACGUGGACUAAAGAAGUCGCCAAAAUUGAAAUAGGAUAAAUGAGCAUUCGACUGGUGGAAUCGGGAAUAACGAACUCUGCUGGGAAAACAAGUCGAGGACAUGCAUUUCAACCUUUGGAUUUUUGUCUGGCGGCCGCUUAUUCAUCUUCUUGAUAUUGGUGUAAACGACUAAACUGCUCAAGGCUUCCAACAGCAGGUACUCUCUCUGUAGUAGCAGGCGGUCGAGUUGCAUAAAUUGGCAACGCCGUUUCCACCAAAGUACGUCUGCAUCAUUGUUGGACAUGAACGUCUGCAUCACUGUUGGACAUGAAUGUGUGGUGCUGGUGCAUGGUGUGGUGAUUUACACUUAUUUAUCGUUACAGCCUUGCAGCAUGUACCGGCUGUACGUUUCGUCACAUGGAAAAAAAACUACAGAUGAACAAUAACAACAAGAUGAACAAUAAAAGUAAUCCUGGUGAAAUCUGAGCUUCUUCAUUGCAGUCCGAUGUGCACAUGGAUUUGUUGCAGCCAGCUGGCGGAAGGUGUUCCUCUUUGAGGCUUGCUACCUGUAGUGGUUGUAGCUUUCAUUACAUGCAGAAACACUACAGAACAAUUUAAAUUAAUUAUGGAUGCUGUAAAGGGAAUAAGGUUGCAAGAUAUGAAGAUACACGAUAGAUAGAUGCACACAAGAUAGAUUGAUACAGAAAAAAACAUUACUUUCGGUGGAGCGUACAAAGUUCCUAGCUACCAGACAAUUUCUUCAGAAUAUUUGGGUUUAUCCUGUAUUGUUCCCGUAGUUGCUGUCCGAUGUCGUUGUUGCAGCCUAUGCUGGUGAAAAAUCAUUUUUGCAUCAAGUUAAACUGGUUCUUCCUUGGUUCUAGUGUCGUGUUACGGAAGUUGAAUCAUUAUUUUGUUAAAUUGUCAUUGUAUCUGCAGUCUACCGUUGUAUGUUCAGAAAGAACAAAAACAGAAAUAUGGGGAUGUGUUAAGUAAAACAAAUAAUAAACAUGUUUUUGGGAUUGGGAAAGGAAAGUGGAGGAUGUUGGAGGGGGGAGGAUAUUUCAAGUUUGGAUAAAAAAUCUGUUAAUCUAAAACCCUACAAACAUAUCCCUAUUACCUAACUAAUCUCUAAACCCCACAAACAUAUACCUUCCAAUUCUUCAAACCCCCACAACCUCCAAAUUUAUAACCUAAACCCCAUGAAACCAAUGCUAAACUUUAACAAUGUAAUAACUGUAAUAAAUAAAAACAAAUAUAUGAUUUGAA